rnacentral:rRNA from 1 species
UACGAGGGGGGCAAAUGUUGUUCGGAAUCACUGGGCGUAAAGGGAGCGUAGGCGGGCUUCUAAGUUAGGUGUUUAAUCCCAGGGCCCAACCCUGGUCGUGCACUUAAAACUGGGAGUCUUGAAUAGUGGAGAGGUCAGUGGAAUUGGGGGUGUAGCGGUGGAAUGCGUAGAGAUCCCCAAGAACACCAGUUGCGAAGGCGGCUGACUGGACACAUAUUGACGCUGAGGCUCGAAAGCAUGGGGAGCAAACAGG